rnacentral:rRNA from 1 species
UAGGGAAUCUUCCACAAUGGGCGAAAGCCUGAUGGAGCAACGCCGCGUGUGUGGUGAAGGGUUUCGGCUCGUAAAACACUGUUGUAAGAGAAGAAUGACAUUGAGAGUAACUGUUCAAUGUGUGACGGUAUCUUACCAGAAAGGAACGGCUAAAUACGCGCCAG